UAUGUUUUCUACUUUUGUAAUGCUAUAGUAUAAGUUGUUAAUAUUAGAAUAUUAAUAUUAAAAAUAAUAAUUGAGAAACUGAGGGUUAUAGUUGAAAGUUAAGAGAAAUAGUUUUAAACAGAUUUUUGUUUAUUUCAAGAUUCAAAAGUUAGCUAUUUCUUUUGUUGAAAACUUUUCAAACUAAUUUCAUUUUGUGGCAUUGGGGAAUCCCGGUACCAAAAUGUAGUGUCUGCUCCAUUUUAUAUUACUAUAUCCAUCUUUCUCACACAUUGUAGCUAUCAAAUAUACUCCUCGUGUCUUCUAAAAUCCUAAUAACAGGAGCGCCUGUAACAGCAGAAUAGCAUGUUUUUUGGAGUCUUUUGCUUACUAAAUUCAAAGAGGAUUUUUUCAAUUGUUGAUUGAAAGAUGAUGUAUUUAUUGUCACCAUGAAUAAUUGCAUUAUAUUGUGAAUGAAUGCAGGUUAUGUUUUGCAUACAAGUCAUAAGUAUCAUAUAUCAUUUAUAUAAAUUUUAAGAAAAUGAACAAAUUACUAUCUGCCCCCAUAAAGGAAGUAAGUAAAAAGAUACACGCUGGUGAUGUGCGUCCUUCUGAUAUUACAAAAGCAGCUGUUAAGUUGACAUCAGUUAUUAAACCGCUUAAUGCAUAUAUUACUGUAACCGAUGAUACGGCAAAGAAACAUGCAGAAAACUCGGAUUUACGACAGAAAGACCAUAAUUUGUUGGGAAAACUGGAUGGAAUACCCAUUGCAAUUAAAGAUAAUUACUGUACCAAAGAUCAGUUAACAACUUGUGCAUCAAAAAUGCUUUCAAAUUUCAUCCCUACUUAUGAUGCAACUGUAUAUAAACGUUUAAAAGAUUCUGGGGCAGUUUUAAUUGGUAAAACUAAUCUUGAUGAAUUUGGUAUGGGUUCUGGUACUAUUGACUCGUAUUACGGACCAACUAAGAACUUGUGGAACUCUGAUACAUUAGAAAAUUAUUAUUUUUGCAAUAGUGAUACAGAGAAGCAUUAUAAAAAGUCUUUGAACGAAAAUAAUUCAUGGCAUAUCGCAGGUGGUAGUAGCGGUGGUUCUGCAGUAGCUGUUGCUACUAGAAGCUGUUAUGCUGCAUUAGGUUCAGAUACUGGAGGUUCAACGCGAAAUCCAGCCUCUUAUUGUGGUCUGAUUGGUUUGAAACCUACUUAUGGAUUAGUCUCGCGUUAUGGACUUAUUCCUCUUGUAAAUUCAAUGGAUGUACCUGGUAUACUUGCAAGGACCGUAGAUGAUGCUGUGGUAGUUUUAAACGCUAUAGCUGGCCCGGACGAAGCGGAUUCUACUUGUGUAAGGAGAGAAUACGUACCAUUCGAUUUACCAGAUAAUAUAAAUAUAAGUAAUUGUAGAAUAGGAAUACCCAAAGAAUACAGACAAAGAAAUAUAAGUCCUGAAAUACAAGAAUGUUGGAACGAAGUUUCUCAUUUUCUGGAAGAAGCUGGAGCAUCACUUUCCACGGUGUCGUUGCCACACACGAGUUAUUCUAUAAUGUGCUACACAGUUUUAAAUCGUUGCGACGUUACCAGUAAUCUGGCUUGUUACGACGGUGUAGAAUACGGUUACAGAGCAGACGAAUGGAGUUCUUUGCAAGAACAGUAUAGAAAAACAAGAACGGAAGGGUUUGGUAAAGUAGUUAAAGAACGCAUUUUAGUUGGAAACUACUUUCUAUUAGAAGAAAAUUAUGAACCAUAUUAUAUGAAAGCAAUGAAAAUACGAAGAUUAAUCUCAGAAGAUUUUGAUGCAGCGUGGAAUAGCGACAUUGAUUUUAUUCUUACUCCUACUACCCUCACAGAAGCUCCUAAGUAUGAUGAGUUUGUUUUACUGGACAAUCAGACACAAUGUUUAAUUCAAGAUUAUUGUACUCAGCCUGCUAACAUGGCAGGCAUACCAGCCAUUAAUAUACCAAUUAAGCUUUCCAAGAAAGGUUUACCUCUGUCUUUACAACUUAUGGCUCCUUCUUUCAACGAGAAGGGCCUUCUUACAUUAGCAAAGUGGAUUGAACAGAGAGUACAGUUCCCAAUGCUUGAAUUGAGAGAUACAUCUUUGUUCGAAUAAAAUGUUUCGUUUAUCCAUCAGGAUUUCACCGUUAUAGCUGGAAACUUGCUUAUCUGAAUAUCGUCGGUAUAGUUGGAAAUGUUAAUUGCAAUUAAGAAUUACACCAGAGCGCACAACGAUUCUGAAAGACGUCGGUAUUUAAGAUCACGACAGGAAUUCAUAUUUAGAUAUAAAAUACAAAAUAUACUGAAGUUUCUUUGUGACGUUUUAGUCGAUUUAUAUUCAUCAAAAUAGAGAAAGAAAUCUUAUUAAGAUGAUAGUGAUACUCCGUUUACAAGAAAAGUAAAGUGUGCCAUAUAGAACUGAAAUAUGAUAAUUUACGGAAAAGGAAGUCUUGCUUCACUGUCGAUAUCGCUUUGUAGAAAUUAAAUCGAUCAUAAUAUCAUAGAAACAAGAAUUACUCCAAAUCGAAGC